rnacentral:rRNA from 1 species
CGGAAACGCACAGCGAAAGGUGCUUGCACCUUUCAAGUGAGUGGCGAACGGGUGAGUAACACGUGGACAACCUGCCUCAAGGCUGGGGAUAACAUUUGGAAACAGAUGCUAAUACCGAAUAAAACUUAGUGUCGCAUGACAAAAAGUUAAAAGGCGCUUCGGCGUCACCUAGAGAUGGAUCCGCGGUGCAUUAGUUAGUUGGUGGGGUAAAGGCCUACCAAGACAAUGAUGCAUAGCCGAGUUGAGAGACUGAUCGGCCACAUUGGGACUGAGACACGGCCCAAACUCCUACGGGAGGCUGCAGUAGGGAAUCUUCCACAAUGGGCGAAAGCCUGAUGGAGCAACGCCGCGUGUGUGAUGAAGGCUUUCGGGUCGUAAAGCACUGUUGUAUGGGAAGAACAGCUAGAAUAGGAAAUGAUUUUAGUUUGACGGUACCAUACCAGAAAGGGACGGCUAAAUACGUGCCAGCAGCCGCGGUAAUACGUAUGUCCCGAGCGUUAUCCGGAUUUAUUGGGCGUAAAGCGAGCGCAGACGGUUUAUUAAGUCUGAUGUGAAAGCCCGGAGCUCAACUCCGGAAUGGCAUUGGAAACUGGUUAACUUGAGUGCAGUAGAGGUAAGUGGAACUCCAUGUGUAGCGGUGGAAUGCGUAGAUAUAUGGAAGAACACCAGUGGCGAAGGCGGCUUACUGGACUGCAACUGACGUUGAGGCUCGAAAGUGUGGGUAGCAAACAGGAUUAGAUACCCUGGUAGUCCACACCGUAAACGAUGAACACUAGGUGUUAGGAGGUUUCCGCCUCUUAGUGCCGAAGCUAACGCAUUAAGUGUUCCGCCUGGGGAGUACGACCGCAAGGUUGAAACUCAAAGGAAUUGACGGGGACCCGCACAAGCGGUGGAGCAUGUGGUUUAAUUCGAAGCAACGCGAAGAACCUUACCAGGUCUUGACAUCCUUUGAAGCUUUAGAAGAUAGAAGUGUUCUCUUCGGAGACAAAGUGACAGGUGGUGCAUGGUCGUCGUCAGCUCCUGUCCUGAGAUGUUUGGGUUAAGUCCCGCAACGAGCGCAACCCUUAUUGUUAGUUGCCAGCAUUCCAAUGGGCACUCUAGCGAGAAUGCCGGUGACAAACCGGAGGAAAGGGGGGGGACAAAAUUGAAAAAUCAUGGCCCCUUUUAACCGGGGGUACAACCGGGUUAAAAGGGGGUAAAAACAAAUUGCCACCCCC